ensembl:snRNA U6 U6 spliceosomal RNA
GUGCUCGAUUCAGCAGCACAUACACUAAAAUUAGAACAAUACAGAGAAGAUUAGCAUGGCCCCUGUGUAAGGAAAACAUGCAAAUUCAUGAAAUGUUCCAUAAAAAA